rnacentral:rRNA from 1 species
AGAGUUUGAUCCUGGCUCAGGAUGAACGCUGGCGGCGUGCCUAACACAUGCAAGUCGAGCGAUUUACUUCGGUAAAGAGCGGCGGACGGGUGAGUAACGCGUGGGUAACCUGCCCUGUACACACGGAUAACAUACCGAAAGGUAUGCUAAUACGAGAUAAAAUACUUUUAUCGCAUGGUAGAAGUAUCAAAGCUUUUGCGGUACAGGAUGGACCCGCGUCUGAUUAGCUAGUUGGUAAGGUAACGGCUUACCAAGGCGACGAUCAGUAGCCGACCUGAGAGGGUGAUCGGCCACAUUGGAACUGAGACACGGUCCAAACUCCUACGGGAGGCAGCAGUGGGGAAUAUUGCACAAUGGGCGAAAGCCUGAUGCAGCAACGCCGCGUGAGCGAUGAAGGCCUUCGGGUCGUAAAGCUCUGUCCUCAAGGAAGAUAAUGACGGUACUUGAGGAGGAAGCCCCGGCUAACUACGUG